rnacentral:lncRNA from 1 species
GUUGUCAGUCAUGCUAAUUUCUCUGGAUGGGGCCUGUGGAACCACCGCGUCUUAAAACAAUCAUUCAGGGAGAGAAUGGCAGAAGUGAUUUUUUUGCUGCUGCAUCUGAUUCUCACUGGUCAAAGCUGGUUCUUCUGAAGUCAGAUGUCCUUUUGUUUCUGUCAUUUGGUCUUCUAGUUGCCUCAAGGAAGUGCUUCCGGUAAGGAGAAGGGAAGGAAGGUAACAGGUUUUUGCCCAGAUAAUAAGCCUCUCUGCCAUUGUAAUAAGCCAAACCAAGCCCAAUGGAAAAGUAUAAAAGUGGAUUUGUUGGGAACAGCUCCUAGGCCAGUUCACAGCCCCAGAGAACAAGACCAGAGAAGUACCACACUCAGGCUGAGGUGAGGGCAUUUGAUAGAUCCAGGGCAAGGAGUGAUGGCAUAUCAGCCAGGGGCUGGGAUUGUCCCACACAUGUUGUACAGCUGAACACCUAGGUGGGCACACCUGGGUGGGCUGGCAGGUUGCAUCAGCUGUUGGAAUUGGGCUUCUUGGUACUAUUCCUUUGUUCAGAAUUUUCUAGUACAGACAGGGUUGGACAGGAGGAAUAGGGGUUCUAAGAUAACAGGUGAGCAAGGGGCUCCAAUAGAACAGACAGUUACAUCUUCAGGUCGGGGGAGGCAAACAUUUCUGUGGCAGGGACUGGGCUCCAAAGCACACAAGGCCCAUGGAAUGGGUACAGGCACAGCUGGCCUGACCAUGUCGGAGGCUGCAUUUGUUGAUGACAGCAGGGAUGGGAUGACAAUGGGAAGGCAGGUCUCUCCACUGAGCCAGCAGCAGGACCCCAGAGACAAGUGGAGGGAAGCUGGGGGUGGGCACAAAGCUGAGCUUUAGUGCAGCAUCCUAUCCAGUUCUGGGGUAAAUGAUAGCAGUGGAGCUCUUGAUUGCAAGUUACAGGAUCAGACCCCAGCUUCAACAUGUGUUGGAUAUGGAGGGCUGCUUGAGAGACAUGCAUCCAGCUAGAGAGACAGCAGAGUGGACCCUCCUGACGUCAUCCACACUCCCCUCCUCAGAGACAAGCUAGAGAGAAGGAAAAGAAGAGACUUGCCACACAGCUUCCUCGUACUGGGCCUUGAGCUGACUUGCCUUCUAAUUACUAACAGCUCACCCAAUUUUACCCACACCCUCAGCCAAGCAACAAGGCUGUGAGCUCUUCUACCCUCCUUAGAAAUCCACAUUGAGGAACUGAUUGCAGAUUUAUACAAAGAAAAACAAAGACACUGUUUCUAUUGUUGGCUCCACCCAAAACUGUUCUGCAGGACUCAGAAACAACUAGGUUUUCUUAAGUAGAAUUCUUUGUAGAAUGCUGUCUUCCAGUUGUAAUAGCCAUUGCCAUCUUAAUUAGAGCAGCUCUGUGGACACUCCCUCAUAGAAGAAGGGGGCAGUGAUGAUCAUUACACCUGUACCUGAGCCACUACCCCCUACCCACUUUUUCCCAGAAUUCCCUCUUUUGUAUGUGAUUCUGUCCGAGUUGCAGUAUCUCCUGGUGCCAGGAGAUGCUAAAAUAACAUGGAUCAUGGAGGCUAACUGAAUGGGGGACUCCAUGUGCAGUUAUGGGGAAGUGACACUCUGCUGAUGUGGCCACCAAGCAUCCACAUGGCUGAGGGGGGGAUGGAGGGAAAAGCUGAGUGCUUGGCCACAGGGUUGGAGCUCUGGAUACACCCUCACUCUGGAAACCCCCUACAUGAACCAGUACAUUUGUUUCUCCAAGGAGACUGAGUCAGAGGUCUCUGUUAUUGUAACAACACCACCAAGGCAGUGCAUGACGAAAUAACACUUGCAGUUUCAUUCAUUUCUAGACUGAGGGUAGAGGCAGCACUGUGGAACGUUGGCCGUCAGAACAGUAUUAAGGGUUUGUAGAGAAGAAGUGAGCCGUUUCUUCCAAUUCUCCCCUUCCUUCUCUCCCUACCUCCUCACGUGCACUUGGGCAAGUCCUGUCUGGUGAAGUCAAGUGCACUGAAGGCUCUGUUUGCAGGAGAGUGUAUGAGUCCCA